AUUGAACGCUGGCGGCAGGCCUAACACAUGCAAGUCGAACGAGUGGCGGACGGGUGAGUGAUGUCUGGGAAACUGCCUGAUGGAGGGGGGUAACUGCUGAAAAAUGUAGCUAAUACCGCAUACCAUCGGAUGUGCCCAGAUGGGUUUAGCUAGGAGGUGGUGUAAAGGCUCCCCUAGGCGACGAUCCCUAGCUGGUCUGAGAGGAUGACCAGCCACACUGGAACGGAGACACGUUCCAGAUUCCUACGGGAGGCAGCAGUGGGGAAUAUUGCACAUGGGGCGCAAGCCUGAUGCAGCCAUGCCGCGUGUAUGAAGAAGGCCUUCGGGUUGUAAAGUACUUUCAGCGGGGAGGCGUUACCCGCAGAAGAAGCACCGGCUAACUCCGUGCCAGCAGCCGCGGUAAUAC
rnacentral:rRNA from 1 species